rnacentral:rRNA from 1 species
UGGGGAAUAUUGGACAAUGGGCGAAAGCCUGAUCCAGCCAUGCCGCGUGUGUGAAGAAGGUCUUCGGAUUGUAAAGCACUUUAAGUUGGGAGGAAGGGCAGUAAGCGAAUACCUUGCUGUUUUGACGUUACCGACAGAAUAAGCACCGGCUAACUCUGUGCCAGCAGCCGCGGUAAUACAGAGGGUGCAAGCGUUAAUCGGAAUUACUGGGCGUAAAGCGCGCGUAGGUGGUUCGUUAAGUUGAAUGUGAAAGCCCCGGGCUCAACCUGGGAACUGCAUCCAAAACUGGCGAGCUGGAGUAGGGCAGAGGGUGGUGGAAUUUCCUGUGUAGCGGUGAAAUGCGUAGAUAUAGGAAGGAACACCAGUGGCGAAGGCGACCACCUGGGCUCAUACUGACACUGCAGUGCGAAAGGGUGGGGAGCAAACAGG